UCUAAGGAUGACCCUAGAUGGCAAAUUCGUUUGUCACGUGGGUUACUUAGCAGAAGCAGCAAACAAAGCUGCAUAUUUUGGGCCAGACUGUCCCCAUAUCCCUUCAGAAUUACAUCAGACCUGCCGGUCUGGACUGGGUCGGUAGCUCAGGUGGUUAGAGCGCACGCCUGAUAAGCGUGAGGUCGGAGGUUCAAGUCCUCCUCGACCCACCACUAGAUCAUGGGGUUGGCUAAAAAUACCAUGUGAUUGUAAUAUGGGGCCUUAGCUCAGCUGGGAGAGCGCCUGAUUUGCAUUCAGGAGGUCAGGAGUUCGAUCCUCCUAGGCUCCACCAUUACCAAUUUGAGUGCUAAGCAGUGUAAACUGUUUAGCCGUCCAAUUGGGCGAUUUUGACAUCGUGAAGAGAGAUACAAAUAUAGCUUUGUUUGGAGUUUACAUGUGAGUUGACUCCUCAAUUAGUGAAGCACUAUCGUGUGGACAGUUGAUGUACAUAGGUCUUUUCCUCGACCGUGCAUUGAUAUACUUUUUGAAAAAGACAAAGUUAUCCAAGUCAAAUACACUAACCAAGCAUUUUUCAGAUUUAUCUGAAAUAAAUGCGGGAAAGUAUAAAAUUAUGACUUUUGACCAGAAAAGUGGAGCCUCCGAACCAGCGGUUCCUUGCAGCUAGUCUGACUUUUUCU
rnacentral:tRNA from 1 species